AUCAUGAGUUCACAUGUCCGCAUGAUUAAAGGUAUUUUCCGGUAGACGAUGGGGAUGCGUUCCAUUAGAUAGUAGGCGGGGUAACGGCCCACCUAGUCAACGAUGGAUAGGGGUUCUGAGAGGAAGGUCCCCCACAUUGGAACUGAGACACGGUCCAAACUCCUACGGGAGGCAGCAGUGAGGAAUAUUGGUCAAUGGGCGAUGGCCUGAACCAGCCAAGUAGCGUGAAGGAUGACUGCCCUAUGGGUUGUAAACUUCUUUUAUAAAGGAAUAAAGUCGGGUAUGCAUACCCGUUUGCAUGUACUUUAUGAAUAAGGAUCGGCUAACUCCGUGCCAGCAGCCGCGGUAAUACGGAGGAUCCGAGCGUUAUCCGGAUUUACUGGGUUUAAAGGGAGCGUAGAUGGAUGUUUAAGUCAGUUGUGAAAGUUUGCGGCUCAACCGUAAAAUUGCAGUUGAUACUGGAUGUCUUGAGUGCAGUUGAGGCAGGCGGAAUUCGUGGUGUAGCGGUGAAAUGCUUAGAUAUCACGAAGAACUCCGAUUG
rnacentral:rRNA from 1 species